GCGCGCGCGACCUCUUCGCUACCAGCGCUCGGUGAGGGCGGGCGGCACUCGGUGUGGUGACGAAUUUUAGUUGAAAUACCGCUGUUGUCUUUAAAAGAGUCUCUCCCAGGAACUGCACUCGGACCGGAUCCCUCUCGGCAGCCUGUAGCGCCGAUCGGCCUCCGGCGACCAUCAUCUCGGUUUUUGCAGCGUUUAUCUUCAUGCCGUUCUGGAGAAAUGCCGGCCUGUCUGGUCAGCCGUCUGAGGCGGCGCCGCCACCCCUCUGUCGCCUGGACGGCCACCGGAGAGGAGUCGGGCCCCGCCACCGGUCCCGCGUCCCAUCGACCUGUCAUGCUCGCAACGCAUUGCGUUGUGUGAUCAGCCGUCUGGGGCGGUGCCGCCACCCCUCUGUGUUCGCUGGACGACCACCGGGAGAGAGAGAGAGAGAGCGCGCCCCCGGUCCGGUGUCGGACCGACCUGUCAACAAACAGACUCGGAACGCUCAUGUGCGGCAGUACGUGCGUCGCCGUUGGUACCGAGACUGGAAACGUCCAUCUGCCGGUCAAAACUGGACUGCGGCCGACGGGAACUCCAGAUCUCUCACAGCUCGCGGGUUGGUGAACCAGCUUGAUUGGGAAUCUCCGGCGACCUCACACCUGGACGAAAG